GUUGCGGACAGUGUCUGGUGGGUAGUUUGACUGGGGCGGUCUCCUCCUAAAGAGUAACGGAGGAGCACGAAGGUUGGCUAAUCCUGGUCGGACAUCAGGAGGUUAGUGCAAUGGCAUAAGCCAGCUUGACUGCGAGCGUGACGGCGCGAGCAGGUGCGAAAGCAGGUCAUAGUGAUCCGGUGGUUCUGAAUGGAAGGGCCAUCGCUCAACGGAUAAAAGGUACUCCGGGGAUAACAGGCUGAUACCGCCCAAGAGUUCAUAUCGACGGCGGUGUUUGGCACCUCGAUGUCGGCUCAUCACAUCCUGGGGCUGAAGUAGGUCCCAAGGGUAUGGCUGUUCGCCAUUUAAAGUGGUACGCGAGCUGGGUUUAGAACGUCGUGAGACAGUUCGGUCCCUAUCUGCCGUGGGCGCUGGAGAACUGAGGGGGGCUGCUCCUAGUACGAGAGGACCGGAGUGGACGCAUCACUGGUGUUCGGGUUGUCAUGCCAAUGGCACUGCCCGGUAGCUAAAUGCGGAAGAGAUAAGUGCUGAAAGCAUCUAAGCACGAAACUUGCCCCGAGAUGAGUUCUCCCUGAGACUUAGAGUCUCCUGAAGGAACGUUGAAGACGACGACGUUGAUAGGCCGGGUGUGUAAGCGCAGCGAUGCGUUGAGCUAACCGGUACUAAUGAACCGUGAGGCUUAACCUUAC
rnacentral:rRNA from 2 species